GAUCAUAUUAGUGCACAUAUAAAUAUAUAUUAGGUAAUUUUAAAUACACAUAGGGUAAUUGAAGUAAUAUUGCAAAGUAUUUUAAUUAAUGCUUGUAAACACGUUGUAAUUUGGCCAAUCCGCUAUUGAACGUGUAAAUAAAUCUCACUAUUAUUAUAUUAUUAUUACAGUUUUAGCUUCGAGAAUGUAAUGUGUAUUCCCCAAUUUCUCUACGGAUUUAGAUUUUUUGAGAGAAUGGUUUUUGUGGCGAUUGGGGAGGGGUCGCCCGGGCCCCCUCGCCCCCCUUUGCCUACGCCACUGGUUUAGCACUAUUUUCCAUCCAGCAAACUGACCUGACGUCAUUUUUGGAAGAUAGAAGAGGUGCAGAG